AAAAAUAAAAAAGUCAAGGGAAUCUACAAAAGAGGUUCUUGAGAGGAUCCGGUGCAUUCCUGCAACAUUUUCAAAUUUAAAUGAAUCACUACAGCAUCAUUCUCCCCUCUGGUGACUGUAUGAAAGAACAAUACCUGUGCUUCCUCAGCACAUAAAAACAACGGGAUGCCACCUAGUUGAGAGCUCUGCUUCCUCUCGAAGGUCACCUUCUUCCUUGCUCAGAAAAAAAUGUGAGGAAAAAAGAUAUGGAAUUGGCCCCCUAGACCCUGUUUGAAUUUGUGUUCCAGCACAGAAUGUCUCUCUAGAGGAGCAGUGCAUCAGACUGAGAACACUUCACAUCUCUUUUGCUGUCAUCUUGCUUCAUCUUGGACUGAAACUCCAAAAGUACAGAUGAGAAGAAAACAGCAUCUGGUAGCAAGGGUUGUUAAUUAGCAAUUAUUUGUCACCAGCAAUGCACCUUCCCAGUCCUUUUAGCACACAGUUAUAGAGCAAUAGUUGAAAGGACAGGCCUUGGGUACCACUGUCUCUUCCGGUACAAGGACCUUCGUGACUAAAGUGUCUCAAAGAGAUCACCACGGCAGGAAGGAAUAGGAUGAAAGGCCACAAGUGGGCACCAAAUGACCCUGAAAGCAUAAGUUCAAAUUGGGAUGGUGCUAGAGCUGUGGGGCUGCUCUGAAAAAAAAGCAAUUUUCCUACAGAUUUUUACUGGUCUUCUCCUAGAUCUCCUUAUCCCCUACAACAUAAACCACUUAAAACUAUGUUUUUGCAGAGUAUAUUAUUCUAGGUGAAAUGAAGGUGCAUUCUCUUUCUUAAGUAAAUUGCUUACCAAGCGAAAUAUUGUAUUUACUAAACAGAUCCUCCCUGCUCUGUUGUUGCCUGCUAAUCACUUUAUGUGCUGAGGAAGAAAGUAACCUGGAGGAGAACACCCUGUUGCAGGUGAAAUCUAGUGUCUGCAUAGUAACAAAAGGCAUAUGGUGUUUUGUGACACACAGCGGCAGCUGAAGAGUGAUGCCAGACUGUCAGCACUGUUUUCAGAGACUGUUGCAAGCCUACAUCACAAGUCUUGUACACUAUUCCUGUUCCUAUUUUGCUGAAUAUAUUUUUGUGCCUGUGAGAGAGGGAGACAGGUUGAUGCCAUUACCUGUCUUGUUUCUGAAGUAUUGCUUUUACUGUUAAGUGAAAACCAUUAACUCACCUGUUAUUAGAUAAAACUUGUUCUGACAGCAGCUGAAGAUCAAGGGAUGAAAAAGCAGCUGCACUUUGUGUGUUUAGUACAGUCAUAGGUUCAGAAAGCAUUAGUAACUUCAGAAAAUGAAGACUUCCAAGGAAAUCUGGAGCAUGUUAGAACAAGAGUAAGUAAUAAAUAUUCAGUGGACUUUGCUUUCAACAAGAACCUUUC